rnacentral:tRNA from 1 species
UAGAGAUCAUAAAUUUUUAGCUUCUAACUAAUUCUAUUGUAUUUAAUUAUACUAAUCUCUUA